ACAUUGGUGGUUCAGUGGUAGAAUUCAUGUCUUCCACGGAGGAGACCUAGGUUUGAUUCCUGGCCAGGGCA
rnacentral:tRNA from 1 species